UGGGGAAUCUUGGACAAUGGGCGAAAGCCUGAUCCAGCCAUGCCGCGUGAGUGAAGAAGGCCCUAGGGUUGUAAAGCUCUUUCAGCGGGGAAGAUAAUGACGGUACCCGCAGAAGAAGCCCCGGCUAACUUCGUGCCAGCAGCCGCGGUAAUACGAAGGAUGCAAGCGUUAUUCGGAAUUAUUGGGCGUAGAGCGUCCGCAGGUGGUGCCUCAAGUCUGCUGUCAAAGACCGAAGCUCAACUUCGGGCAGGCAGUGGAAACUGAAGCACUAGAGUACGGUAGGGGUAGAGGGAAUUUCCAGUGUAGCGGUGAAAUGCGUAGAGAUUGGAAAGAACACCAGUGGCGAAGGCGCUCUACUGGACCGUAACUGACACUCAGGGACGAAAGCUAGGGGAGCGAAAGGGAUUAGAUACCCCUGUAGUCC
rnacentral:rRNA from 1 species